UUGGAGGGCAAGUCUGGUGCCAGCAGCCGCGGUAAUUCCAGCUCCAAUAGCGUAUAUUAAAGUUGUUGCAGUUAAAAAGCUCGUAGUUGAAUUUCGGGAUUUGUCCAUUGGUCGGGCCUCACGGUCCGCACUGGUGUGAUGGGUUCCUACCUUCUGAAUAACCAGCAUGCCAUUUAGUUGGUGCGCCGGGGAAGCAGAGCUAUUACCUUGAAAAAAUUAGAGUGCUUAAAGCAGGCUAUUGCUUGAAUAGAUUAGCAUGGAAUAAUAAAAUAGGACGGCAUGGUUCUAUUUUGUUGGUUUCUAGGAUCACCGUAAUGAUUAAUAGGGAUAGUUGGGGGCAUUAGUAUUCAAUUGUCAGAGGUGAAAUUCUUGGAUUUAUUGAAGACUAACUUCUGCGAAAGCAUUUGCCAAGGAUGUUUUCAUUAAUCAAGAACGAAAGUUAGGGGAUCGAAGACGAUCAGAUACCGUCGUAGUCUUAACCAUAAACUAUGCCGACUAGGGAUCGGACGAUGUUAAUUUUUUAAUGACUCGUUCGGCGCCUUACGGGAAAC
rnacentral:rRNA from 1 species